GACGUAGGGCGCGAGCGUUGUCCGGAUUUAUUGGGCGUAAAGAGCUCGUAGGCGGCUUGUUGCGUCGGCUGUGAAAACCCAUGGCUCAACCGUGGGCUUGCAGCCGAUACGGGCAGGCUAGAGUUCGGUAGGGGAGACUGGAAUUCCUGGUGUAGCGGUGAAAUGCGCAGAUAUCAGGAGGAACACCGGUGGCGAAGGCGGGUCUCUGGGCCGAUACUGACGCUGAGGAGCGAAAGCCAGGGGAGCAAACGGG
rnacentral:rRNA from 1 species